CUGCCGAGAGGGGGGGGGGCAGAGGGGGCAUAUUGCCCCGGGCAAAUAAUAAAUUAUAAUAAAUAAUAAUUAUUUAUUACAAUUUAUUAUUUAUUAUUUGCCCGAGGCAAUAUGCCCCCUCUGCCCCCCCCCCUCUCGGCAG